rnacentral:rRNA from 1 species
ACUCCUACGGGAGGCAGCAGUGGGGAAUAUUUGGACAUCAAUAGGGGGAAAGGCCCAUCGAUGCAGCCAUGCCGCGCUGUGUGAAGAAGGCCAAUUCGGGUUUGGUUAAAGACACUUUUCAGUAGGGAGGAAGGUAGUGUAGUUAACACCUGCACUAUUUGACGUUACCUACAGAAGAAGCACCGGCUAACUCCGUGCCAGCAGCCGCGGUAAUACGGAGGGUGCGAGCGUUAAUCGGAAUUACUGGGCGUAAAGCGCAUGCAGGCGGCCUGUUAAGUCAGAUGUGAAAGCCCGGGGCUUAACCUCGGAAUUGCAUUUGAAACUGGUAGGCUAGAGUCUUGUAGAGGGGGGUAAAUUUCAGGUGUAGCGGUGAAAUGCGUAGAGAUCUGAAGGAAUACCAGUGGCGAAGGCGGCCCCCUGGACAAAGACUGACGCUCAGAUGCGAAAGCGUGGGGAGCAAACAGGAUUAGAUACCCUGGUAGGAUAG